GACGAACGCUGGCGGCGUGCUUAACACAUGCAAGUCGAACGGUGAAGCAGAGCUUGCUCUGUGGAUCAGUGGCGAACGGGUGAGUAACACGUGAGUAACCUGCCCUUGACUCUGGGAUAAGCGUUGGAAGCGACGUCUGAUACCGGAUAUGACCUUCGGACGCAUGUUCUGUUGGUGGAAAGAUUUUUUGGUCAAGGAUGGCCUCGCGGCCUAUCAGCUUGUUGGUGAGGUAAUGGCUCACCAAGGCGACGACGGGUAGCCGGCCUGAGAGGGUGACCGGCCACACUGGGACUGAGACACGGCCCAGACUCCUACGGGAGGCAGCAGUGGGGAAUAUUGCACAAUGGGCGCAAGCCUGAUGCAGCAACGCCGCGUGAGGGACGACGGCCCUCGGGUUGUAAACCUCUUUUAGUAGGGAAGAAGCGAAAGUGACGGUACCUGCAGAAAAAGCACCGGCUAACUACGUGCCAGCAGCCGCCGUAA
rnacentral:rRNA from 1 species